GGAGUUGUAGCUCAGUGGUAGAGUGUUUGCUCAGUAUGUAAGAGGCAUGGGUUCGAUCCUCAGCACCA
rnacentral:tRNA from 1 species